GGGCCAUAGCUCAGUGGUAGAGGAUCCGCUUUGCAAGCAGAGGGUCGCAGGUUCAAUCCCCAACAUCUCCA